CGCUGGCGGCUCGCGGAGUCUCCACUCAGCAAUGUGCUUUGCAGCAAACAGGGGCUGCCCACGUUGCGGGGUUUCCUUCAGGCCGGGGUUAGAAACCCGAGAGGCCCCCGUGCUCCAGCUGCCGCUCGGCGGAGCGGAGGGUAGGAGCCCAUAGAAACAUCUGGCGCGGAUAAGGUUGUAAAGCUCAUGCUUUUACAUGCGGAGGGCCCCAGUUCACUCCCUGCAGACAUCGCAAACAGGAGUGGUGUCACAUUUGGCUAUGCCAUCUGUAACCGCUAAACCACAACCAACUUCUUGCUCCUGGAAGAGAAGCCGAAGCCCAGCACUCCACUGGUGCUCCGCAAUGUGUGCGUUGUGGCUCCCUGCAUGGGCUGCUACAUGUAGAGUGUUUGUAUUUGAUUAAAAGGCGCUGCCCCCUUUAAGAACAGAAUGUGGGAAACAGCAUGUGUUGGAGACUGAGUGGUGUGAUAUGACCUGUGUGUCCACUGUCUGGAAGACCCUGCCUGCCUAAGAUCUGAAAAGGUCAGAACU